GGCCUGGGAACCUGCCAGCAAGGCAGUCCACCACCACGUCCUUUUGCCUCUGGCCGCGGCACACUGGAGGGAAGCCGUGGGGCCCUGCAGGGAACCCUGCCUUGUCCAGACUCUGCAAGGUGCCUCUGCAGGGCUUCUGGCGUCCCUUCCACAGGAGCUAUUUGCAACCCUGGGAAUUGUAGAGAACUUCUGUCCUGCCUGGAGAGGCUUGACUGCCCCUGUGGGCCCUGCUGAGAGGCUGGCUCUGCUUCCAUCUGUACUUCAUGCUCCUCACUCCGUGUGAACUCCUGCCACUGGGACUGCCUCUGAGAACCAGUCACAGCACCUGCCAGCUUCCCUCAUGAGACCCUAAAGGAGAACUCUUACCAGCCCCCACCCCACCCCACCGCAGCACAGACUACGCUGGGAUGCCAAGGACUGACAUUCAUACCUGUGUUCUCCUCUCCUUGUGAAGUCCAGAGAACUGAGUGCUACUCUUUUCCUAGUGGCAUUGUCACCGCUGUGAUGAGACUGGACCGCGAGGAGGCAGCAGGAGGAGCGUGGCCACCUCUGCAAUUGACACCAAAGCCCAACCUUUUAUGUGAGAGCGUGGCAGGCUUCCUGAGUGGGAGGCAUUCUGAGCAUAUCACUUAAGGACUGCACUAGAGGAAAACAUGGAGUGAACUCGCUGACAACGAUUUUUGAAAUCCAGGGUAAUUAGUUCCAUCAGAACAAUCCCAAUUACAUUCCUAAUUCUCUCUGCCUUGCUGAAAGCACCGAAAGUGAACCAUGUUGGUGUCAUUAUAUUCCUGCUCAGAAGAGUCUUUAUCACCAGCGCUGGGAAUGGAGGAGGGGUUGAGGAAGGGGCCAGUGCCCAGGUUGUGGGAAGCCCCCACAAGGGGACCAAGCCAAUGAUACCAGCGUGGCACAAGGGCCUGAAAGUCAAAGAGUGGCCAGUGCGGGGUGAGGAAGGGGACCAAGUUUCUGGUCGUCUCCCGAGGAAUUCAAGUAACACUCAUGUGAGGACAUUUAUAACGUCAGCUCCAGAGACAUCUUGGUAGCCAAAUGAGGAAAGAAAAUAACUU
rnacentral:lncRNA from 1 species